AGGGCUGGAGAGCUGGCUCAGAGGUUAAGA
rnacentral:piRNA from 1 species